ACAAACUUGGUCAUUUAGAGGAAGUAAAAGUCGUAACAAGGUCUCCGUUGGUGAACCAGCGGAGGGAUCAUUACCAGAGAUGCCUUCAGGCUCUCCAACCCACUGUGAACAUACCUACGUUGCCCCGGUGUUGAGAAACGUUCGGCGGCCUCAGCGCCCCGCGCGUCCGCCGGGGGCCCCCAAACCCGAAUUUAUAGCGUGUCUUCUGAGGGGCGAAAGCCCGUAAAACAAAUAAAUCAAAACUUUCAACAACGGAUCUCUUGGCUCUGGCAUCGAUGAAGAACGCAGC
rnacentral:misc_RNA from 1 species